rnacentral:lncRNA from 1 species
UCAAAUCAUAUUUAAAAGCUUUAUUGAUCAUGUAGUUUGAGGAAAACGCCUCAAGAAAGUUAGGCCUCAACUUACCUCAGCCUUGCUUAUUCAUCUUCAAUCCCUUGACGCUUCUAACAUCCAAAAAUGUUCAUUCUCUUGGAGACAAAUCUUGAAAAUUUCUACUUUGAAGAAUUCUUGGGGAGAAUUGAGAAUCUUGUUUGGUGGAAAUGUGGAAUUAAUCCCUUGGCCGAGCUCUCACUCUAAACUCCAAGCCCUAACUCAAAAACCAACAUCUCAUUCUCUCUCCCUGCUAUUGUUGUCGGUUUAUAGUCAUGAGCAUCCGCGUGUUUGCCUUUCC